GAAGGAGAUUUCUGGUUCGGGCGAAAAGUGACCACUCUAGAUUUAAAACUUUAGUCAAUUUUUUUUUCGUGGCUCACCGAACCUUUAUUUUUUGCAGCGAAUACAGCUGACUUUUACAGACAGCCAAGUGGCAGAUUUUCUCGAAGAACUUGGGGCAAAGCUAGGGGGACAUUUAGCAUUGUUAGACGCUGAGAGUGGACGGCCGUGAUUUAAAAUGGUCGAAUAAGCCCAGACUCAUACUGCCAUUGAGAGGAGAAGAAAGAGCAAAAUGAAAAACAACAUACACUUCAGUCAUUAUUUGUAGUUACUUGUCAUCUUUUGAAAUUGCAGAUGUGAAAUAAUUUUGAGUGACCUGUUGCUGAAUUACUUGUGAUUUUGUUCUGAUUUCCAGGCGAGACCGCAGUUAAUGAUCUAAACAGGUAGGGCGCAGAGACAGGAUAGAAACACGCGGGGCCGUCCCUUAAAUAAUGUUUAUCAAAACAGUAACAAAAAUGAGUUGUUAAAUUUUUUUUUAGUCUCAACAAAGUUAUCGUAAUUGUUCCA